rnacentral:rRNA from 1 species
AGAUCAGAAUGCUGCGGUGAAUGCGUUCCCGGGCCUUGUACACACCGCCCGUCACACCACGAAAGUUGGCAACACCCGAAGUCAGUGAGCUAACCGGCAUAUCAUUUAGUUGUUCCAACUAAAUGAGUUGUAAGUUGUAAGGUCUAAGUUGUAUGUAAAAGCAUUAGGUCACCGAAGGUGACAUAAACAUAGAACUUAAAACGUAGAACUUAGAACUACAUCAUUUAAGAGUGAAACGAUUAAAUGAUGUGUCGGAGGCAGCUGCCGAAGGUGGGGUCGAUAAUUGGGGUGAAGUCGUAACAAGGUAGCCGUAUCGGAAGGUGCGGCUGGAUCACCUCCUUUCU